rnacentral:rRNA from 1 species
UACGAAGGGGGCUAGCGUUGUUCGGAAUCACUGGGCGUAAAGCGUGCGUAGGCUGUUUAGAAAGUUAGGUGUGAAAGCCUGGGGCUUAACCUCAGAAUUGCGCUUAAAACUACUAGACUCGAGAUUGGUAGGGGACAGUGGAAUUCCUAGUGUAGCGGUGAAAUGCGUAGAUAUUAGGAGGAACACCAGAGGCGAAGGCGACUGUCUGGGCCAAUACUGACGCUAAUGGCACGAAAGCGUGGGGAGCAAACAGG